rnacentral:rRNA from 1 species
GAGCAGCAGUGGGGGAAUAUUGCACAAUGGGCGCAAGCCCUGAUGCAGCCAUGCCGCGUGUGUGAAGAAGGCCUUCGGGUUGUAAAGCACUUUCAGCAGUGAGGAAGGCGUGGUGGUUAAUACCCAUCACGUUUGACGUUAGCUGCAGAAGAAGCACCGGCUAACUCCGUGCCAGCAGCCGCGGUAAUACGGAGGGUGCGAGCGUUAAUCGGAAUUACUGGGCGUAAAGCGCAUGCAGGCGGUUUGUUAAGCAAGAUGUGAAAGCCCCGGGCUCAACCUGGGAACCGCAUUUUGAACUGGCAGGCUAGAGUCUUGUAGAGGGGGGUAGAAUUUCAGGUGUAGCGGUGAAAUGCGUAGAGAUCUGAAGGAAUACCGGUGGCGAAGGCGGCCCCCUGGACAAAGACUGACGCUCAGAUGCGAAAGCGUGGGGAGCAAACAGGAUUAGAUACCCUGGUAGUCCACGCUGUAAACGAUGUCUACUUGGAGGUUGCGGUCUUGAACUGUGGCUUUCGGAGCUAACGCGUUAAGUAGACCGCCUGGGGAGUACGGUCGCAAGAUUAAAACUCAAAUGAAUUGACGGGGGCCCGCACAAGCGGUGGAGCAUGUGGUUUAAUUCGAUGCAACGCGAAGAACCUUACCUACUCUUGACAUCCACAGAAGCCGGAAGAGAUCUG